AGAGGAGCGAAUCAGAUGAGCGCUUUUUCUCGACUGUAAUAAGCAAUUGUUCAAUCUACUUUAAGGAAAAUGAAUUUUGGCCAAAUGAGACUGAACAACUAUGGUCAAAUGCCUAUAAAAGCACAAAUAACAGAUACUCCAUUGCAGAAGUUCAGGAGGCUGAGAAAAAUAGUAGCCCAUGGACCAGAGUGCUGACAAUAGGACUGAAGGAGAUGUAAACAUAGCCAGACUAUCUUUUAGAGGUUCUUUGCUAGGCGCAGUGGCUCAUGCCUGUAAUCCCAGUAUUUUGGAAGAACAAGGUGAGAGGAUCAUUUCAGCCCAGGAAUUUGAUGCUGCAGUGAGCUAUGAUCACACCGCUACAUGCCAGCCUGAGCAACAGAGAGAGACCCCGUCUCAAAAAAAGAAGUAACACGUUUAUUGAUUUAAAAACAAACCUAAAAGAAACUAUAAAAGAAAAAGAAAGUCCCCUCAUACCGGCCCUCACUACCAAUUUUACUCCAUGUAAUAUGUAUCCUUCUAAAUAUUUUUAUACAUAAUGUACAUCAAAUAUUUGCAACUGGACUUUCGCUUGGUCUCUUGAUCCCAAUUACUAUACACUACUCUGACUUCUGGCUCAAACAAACAGCAAUGGGAGAAUUCUUAGUAAAAGACAAUGCAAGUUAUUUGAAGGCAGGGAUUUUUUAACUAUUUUAUUUACUGAUAUAUCCCUAGUUCCUCAAACAGUGUCGACUGGUUCAAUAAAUACGUAUUGAAUAAAUGAAUAAAUCUCUGACAAAAGCCAAGAGGCAAGAUUAGUGCAGAACAGGAGCUGGCCUGGAAGCUAACAGAUAAAAAUGGAGUAGAUGAAACAAUGAUUACAAUAAUCAGAAGGACAAGUAAGUAGCAUCUUAGACCACAGAAAGUAGAGGACUUCUGACUUAGGUGGCUCCUUGGAUAUUAUGAAGCCAUGUUUCAAAACUGGGGUAUGGGUUGGUCUCUAAUUGGCCAGGUGAUAGGGAAGUAGUGCAUUGCCUCUGCUUGGCACCAUGAGGUAGGAGAUAGGGCUGUUUCCGGAGAGAGCCCUUCUAGGAAAACUGGUGCUGGGCUAGGGUCUUCCUUCACAUCUGAGGUGCUUUAGGUGCACCACCACCCUCUAAGCCAAAAGAAGUCCUGAAAUAUUAGAUUCGUCUGAGUCUAGGACAAUUGCCUGCUUUUGAACACAAGCUCCCAAAACCUUCUACUUCCCAGUAUGUUGUAAUGUUUAAGAGCACAUAUUCCUCCUAUCCAAUACUGGCUUUACCAAUUAUACCAGUGAAAUGUUGUAAAACCUAAGACAAAUUGCUUAGCCUCUUGGUGGGUUGGUUUUCUCCUCUAAACAAAUGGGAAUGACAAGAGUACCUAUUUCUUAGGAUUGUUGUUAACAAUUAAAUAAUUAUUAUAAAGUUCUUAGAACAUCAUUUGGUGUUACGAACUGAAUUGUGUGCCCCUAAAAUUUAUAUGUUGAAGCCCUAACUCCCAAUGUAACUGUAUUUGGACAUAGGGCAUUUUAGGAGAUAACUAAGGUUAAAUGAGGUCAUAAGGAUGACUCAUACAACGGGUAUUGGAGACAGCCAUCUGCAAGCCAAGGAGAGAGACCUCAUAAGGAACCAACCCUGUCAAUACCUUCAUUUAGGACUUUUAGCCUCCAGAACUGUGAGACAAUACAUUUCAGUUGCUUAAGUGUGACAUAAUUAUAUGUAUAUAUAAUUAUUUAUAUUAUAUAUUAAGGCCGGGUGUGGUGGCUCACACCUGUAAUCCAAGCACUUUGGAGGCCAAGGUGGGUGUAUCACCUGAGGUUGGGAGUUCAAGAUCAGCCUGACCAACAUGGUGAAACCCCAUCUUUAUUUUAAAAAAAAAGUUAAAAAUAUAUUAUAUAUUAAUAUAUUAUAGAUUAUUUAUUAUAUUAUAUACUAUAUAUUUAUAAAUUUUUAUAUAUUACACAUAUAAAUUAUAUGUAUGUGUGUGUGUGUGUGUAUCUGCCCCAGUUCCUGACUUAAAGCUGCUGAAACCCUUGUAGAUAGGGGUGCUAGGAGAAUCUUCACUUCUGGCAUUUUGGUCUUUUGAUCCUGAUUCCUGA
ensembl:lncRNA